CUACGGAGGGUGCAAGCGUUACUCGGAAUCACUGGGCGUAAAGCGCGCGCAGGCGGCUUGAUAAGUUGGAUGUGAAAGCCUACGGCUCAACCGUAGAACUGCAUCCAAAACUGUCAAGCUAGAGUCUGGGAGGGGAAGAUGGAAUUAGUUGUGUAGGGGUAAAAUCCGUAGAGAUAACUAGGAAUACCAAAAGCGAAGGCGAUCUUCUGGAACAGUACUGACGCUGAGGCGCGAAAGCGUGGGGAGCAAACAGGAUUAGAAACCCUAGUAGUCC
rnacentral:rRNA from 1 species